rnacentral:rRNA from 1 species
AGCGCGCACGGGUGAGUUUGCGUCGGAACCUGCCCCUUACUGGGGGAUACUCCCCGAAGCUGUGCUAAUACCGCCUACGCCCUGAGGGGGAAAGCGGGGGAUCUUAAGGCCUCGCGCUAUUGGAUCAGCCUAUGUCCGAUUAGCUAGUUGGUGGGGUAAAGGCUCACCAAGGCGACGAUCUGUAGCUGGUCUGAGAGGAUGAUCAUCCACACUGGGACUGAGACACGGCCCACACUCCUACUGGAGGCAGCAGUGGGGAAUAUUGGACAAUGGUGGGCAACCCUGAUCCACCCAUGCCGCGUGUGUGAAGAAGGCCUUCGGGUUGUAAAGCUCUUUCUUUUCGGAAGAAAUAACCAGCGGCUAAUACCUGUGGGUGAUGACGGUACCAGGAGAAGAAGCACCGGCUAACUCUGUGCCAGCCCCCCGCGAUA